rnacentral:rRNA from 1 species
UACGGAGGGUGCGAGCGUUAUCCGGAAUUACUGGGUUUAAAGGGUGCGUAGGCGGCUAUGCAAGUCAGGAGUGAAAGUUUGCGGCUCAACCGUAAAAUUGCUUUUGAUACUGCAUAGCUAGAAUUAGGAUGAGGUCAGCGGAAUGUGGCAUGUAGCGGUGAAAUGCAUAGAUAUGCCAUAGAACACCAAUUGCGAAGGCAGCUGGCUAGACCUGGAUUGACGCUGAGGCACGAAAGCGUGGGGAGCGAACAGG